UGACAAUGGCAGAUUUCUCCUCUCUGAUCACUCUUUCAAGUUUUCUUGGAAGAGAAAUUGCUCCCACUGAACCAAAGAAUUAAUGGAUAGGAAAAGGCCACAAACGACAUUCCCACCUUCACAGGAACAGAUAGUUUGUUUUGUUUACACUAAUUAUGCAUGGGAGUCAUCUGAACUGAGAAAAUAUAGUAAUAUAUAUUAAUGACCGACAUGGUUUUAAGCAUGAAAGUUGAGAUCCUGUUAGCACACAACAAGAUGGCAGCCACGUACAAACGAAGAGAAGAAGCCUCAGAAUGAAAUCUAU